UUUCUCGUGGUGUCUUGUGGGAGUGGCGGUGCGAUCCCUCUCAGACUUGUGAGUCCCUGCUGGAGUCAGAAGUUUUAGGCGAAUCCCAGGCGCGCCAAGGAAAGUGCUACAAAAGCCAUCCAUCUUGCAAGCGUUGGUGCCGAGGCGCAACGCUGAGAACGCAAAUACUAAAGGGCGCUGUUCUUUCCUCGUGGAGCUCACAGUCCGCUGGGGAGACCGUGAGAUGACAGCAGAGAAACUAGCGCGAUCAGUAGUACUCAGCGCAAGGACAGCGAGCAGAGAAGGCAAACCUAGUGCUUGCUAAGGAAGACUUCACAGAGGAGGUAGUGUCAGGGCCGAGACUAGGAGAAGGAUUCUCCAGGCUUCAUACGGUAAAACUCUCUGGGAAGGAAAGGAACUCAGAGUCCCAUGCAGAAAAUUGUUCAGCUGGAGGGGUAUCAGAAAGAUGGAUUUCCAAAGCCAACUGUUUCCUGUAGUGUGUGGAUCUCUGCAAGCAGAGCCUCAUCUUUCAAUUUCAGCUACAUGAAAGAGGAAGAAAGGGAAAGAUAUAUGUCAUACGUGAUAUACUUUAUGUGGCUUUGAAGACCCCUCUUUUGUGGGGCUACGGCUAAAGAACAUAGUUCCCUGGGAUGGAAUUGGCUCUUCCUAUUUCCCUACUUCAUGAAAACUCCAGUAGAAGACCUUAGAACCUUGUCCUGGUUACAUGGAUAUGUUUACUUUGUGAAAAUUCAUCAAGCACUAUGCACGGUCAUGAUUUGUACAUUUUUUUGUAAGAUAACUUCAUUAAAAUUUACUUUUUUUAUUUUUAAAAA
rnacentral:lncRNA from 1 species